rnacentral:rRNA from 1 species
GAAGGUGUGCUGUGAGGCAUGCUGGAGGUAUCAGAAGUGCGAAUGCUGACAUAAGUAACGAUAAAGCGGGUGAAAAGCCCGCUCGCCGGAAGACCAAGGGUUCCUGUCCAACGUUAAUCGGGGCAGGGUGAGUCGACCCCUAAGGCGAGGCCGAAAGGCGUAGUCGAUGGGAAACAGGUUAAUAUUCCUGUACUUGGUGUUACUGCGAAGGGGGGACGGAGAAGGCUAUGUUGGCCGGGCGACGGUUGUCCCGGUUUAAGCGUGUAGGCUGGUUUUCCAGGCAAAUCCGGAAAAUCAAGGCUGAGGCGUGAUGACGAGGCACUGCGGUGCUGAAGCAACAAAUGCCCUGCUUCCAGGAAAAGCCUCUAAGCAUCAGGUAACAUCAAAUCGUACCCCAAACCGACACAGGUGGUCAGGUAGAGAAUACCAAGGCGCUUGAGAGAACUCGGGUGAAGGAACUAGGCAAAAUGGUGCCGUAACUUCGGGAGAAGGCACGCUGAUAUGUAGGUGAAGUCCCUCGCGGAUGGAGCUGAAAUCAGUCGAAGAUACCAGCUGGCUGCAACUGUUUAUUAAAAACACAGCACUGUGCAAACACGAAAGUGGACGUAUACGGUGUGACGCCUGCCCGGUGCCGGAAGGUUAAUUGAUGGGGUCAGCGCAAGCGAAGCUCUUGAUCGAAGCCCCGGUAAACGGCGGCCGUAACUAUAACGGUCCUAAGGUAGCGAAAUUCCUUGUCGGGUAAGUUCCGACCUGCACGAAUGGCGUAAUGAUGGCCAGGCUGUCUCCACCCGAGACUCAGUGAAAUUGAACUCGCUGUGAAGAUGCAGUGUACCCGCGGCAAGACGGAAAGACCCCGUGAACCUUUACUAUAGCUUGACACUGAACAUUGAGCCUUGAUGUGUAGGAUAGGUGGGAGGCUUUGAAGUGUGGACGCCAGUCUGCAUGGAGCCGACCUUGAAAUACCACCCUUUAAUGUUUGAUGUUCUAACGUUGACCCGUAAUCCGGGUUGCGGACAGUGUCUGGUGGGUAGUUUGACUGGGGCGGUCUCCUCCUAAAGAGUAACGGAGGAGCACGAAGGUUGGCUAAUCCUGGUCGGACAUCAGGAGGUUAGUGCAAUGGCAUAAGCCAGCUUGACUGCGAGCGUGACGGCGCGAGCAGGUGCGAAAGCAGGUCAUAGUGAUCCGGUGGUUCUGAAUGGAAGGGCCAUCGCUCAACGGAUAAAAGGUACUCCGGGGAUAACAGGCUGAUACCGCCCAAGAGUUCAUAUCGACGGCGGUGUUUGGCACCUCGAUGUCGGCUCAUCACAUCCUGGGGCUGAAGUAGGUCCCAAGGGUAUGGCUGUUCGCCAUUUAAAGUGGUACGCGAGCUGGGUUUAGAACGUCGUGAGACAGUUCGGUCCCUAUCUGCCGUGGGCGCUGGAGAACUGAGGGGGGCUGCUCCUAGUACGAGAGGACCGGAGUGGACGCAUCACUGGUGUUCGGGUUGUCAUGCCAAUGGCACUGCCCGGUAGCUAAAUGCGGAAGAGAUAAGUGCUGAAAGCAUCUAAGCACGAAACUUGCC